CUCCAAAUUUUUCAUUUGCCUCCUUCAUUUUUGUAUUUUUUCAUCAAGAACCUAGAGGAAUGGAAAAAUUAAAAUCAAUUGGAACUCUAACACCCAACAUUCAUCUCUAUGUCCAGUUGGAUCGAUUACUCUAGUAUGUCAUCAUCAACUUCAUCUUCUUUUUCUUUUGAUUGCUACUAGAUAAAGAUCCAUUAUUUCCCUAAUAAAUUAAUGAAGAACAUCAAAAUAGUUUGAGUCUUUCUUGUUGUUGCAUAGUUUUUGUGAUUUUUCUUAUUCAUCGUCACUCGUUAAUGAGAUACGAACCACUAGGCACGCUUUUUCCUUUGAAAUUGAAGAAGCCAAAAGUUGUGCCUACGAGCUCAAGGUUCUCGAGGCAAAAAGCAGUCAUGCACAACCGACAUAAAUACCAUGAAUGCAAUUUCAAAGUAAAGAUUCCUUUUCUUUUUUCAUAUUUGAAUGUAUGUUUCUCAUCUCCAUUUUGCAACUUGCUAUCUCUGUAAUAUCCAUGGUAGUUGUUAGAUCCUUAUUUUCAGGCAUGUUGCUAGUUUGUUAGUAUAGCAAUGUUAAUAAAUUCUCAUAGUUCUAGAUUAUUUUAAACUUCUAAAUGCUUUAAUGUGAUUGGAGACAUGAUGUAAUAUGUUGGUGAAUGAAAUCUAAGUUGCGUAUUCUUUCUCUUCUUUUAUUUAUUCACUUUCAUUUACAUUUCAUUUGUGCCUUGUUUUUCAUUCUAUUAUUCAUUUUUGACCUACUUGAGUUUGAUCAGUAGCAUUUGUAGAAUUGAGUUUGUCCGGCAUUCCCCUAGAGAUGUGAACAAACGUUUUGGAUAAUUAAUUUCAGAUAGCUAUUCCUCCCUCGAUCAUAUGUUCGUACAUGUGUAUUAUAUUAGAUAUUGUCCUUUUAUCUUCCGGUUCUUGAAUUCAAUUGCUCAGAUUCAUUGGUGUAUCAAAAUAUAUGGGAAUGUAUAUUUUGAUUCUAGUUAUGAAGAUUAUGAGAUGGUCCAGUACCCAAGGUGAGAAAGAUCAAAGGUGCCAAAGCUGUUAUUGCUUCUCCUAGUUCGACUCCAAUAGAUAUCACGUAUCAAAGGGAGAAGCACAAAGGGAGUGGACAAGCUUCUGAUAGAGGACUCUAUGAGAAAAUCAAAGUUGGAUGCACAGACACCUCUAAACCUUAUUCAAGUGGUAAAAAGAAAACAUAUGGGGAAGAUGCCAUUAAGGUACUACAUUAUGAAAGACAUAUAGCUUUGGAGACUAGUGGCGAGGUAUAUAUGGUAUGGGAAGCCAAACAACUAUUCUUUGAAUAGUAAGACAGAGAUUAAAUAGUUGUUCAGAUAAUCUGGCAUGUGGAAGAUUUCAUCAUGAUCAAGAGUUGAAAAAACAUUAAUGGCAUCAUUUAUUGUAAGUAUUGUAGCAAUUUGAUAAUGCCACUUAGUAGACAACAAAUCACACUAGUUAUUAGAUUCAAAUAGUUUACCUUUUUGGGUAUGUUGUUGAUACUUUGAAACUAUGGAUUAGUAUAUUUUGUUGUGAAUUUAAUGAAGUGUAUUAAACUUUUUGAAAA